rnacentral:rRNA from 1 species
AGCGUAUAUUAAAGUUGUUGCAGUUAAAAAGCUCAUAGUUGAAUUUCGGGGUCAGUAGGUUGGUCGUGCCACCGGUACGUACUGGUCUCACUGAUUCCUCCUUCCUGAUGAGCUGUAAUGCCAUUAAUUUGGUGUUGCAGGGAAUCUGGACUGUUACUUUGAAAAAAUUAGAGUGUUUAAAGCAGGCUAACGCUUGAAUACAUUAGCAUGGAAUAAUGAAAUAGGACGUUCGAUCCUAUUUUGUUGGUUUCUAGGAUUGACGUAAUGAUUAAUAGGGAUAGUUGGGGGCAUUAGUAUUCAAUUGUCAGAGGUGAAAUUCUUGGAUUUAUUGAAGACUAACUACUGCGAAAGCAUUUGCCAAGGAUGUUUUCAUUAAUCAAGAACGAAAGUUAGGGGAUCGAAGACGAUCAGAUACCGUCGUAGUCUUAACCAUAAACUAUGCCGACUAGGGAUCGGAUGAUGUUAAUUUUUUAAUGACUC